AGUCGAGCGGUAGCACAGGGGAGCUUGCUCCCUGGGUGACGAGCGGCGGACGGGUGAGUAAUGUCUGGGAAGCUGCCUGAUAGGAGGGGGAUAACUACUGGAAACGGUAGCUAAUACCGCAUAACGUCGCAAGACCAAAGAGGGGGACCUUCGGGCCUCUUGCCAUCAGAUGUGCCCAGAUGGGAUUAGCUAGUAGGUGGGGUAAUGGCUCACCUAGGCGACGAUCCCUAGCUGGUCUGAGAGGAUGACCAGCCACACUGGAACUGAGACACGGUCCAGACUCCUACGGGAGGCAGCAGUGGGGAAUAUUGUACAAUGGGCGCAAGCCUGAUGCAGCCAUGCCGCGUGUGUGAAGAAGGCCUUCGGGUUGUAAAGCACUUUCAGCGAGGAGGAAGGUGGUGAGCUUAAUACGCUCAUCAAUUGACGUUACUCGCAGAAGAAGCACCGGCUAACUCCGUGCCAGCAGCCGCGGUAAUACGGAGGGUGCAAGCGUUAAUCGGAAUUACUGGGCGUAAAGCGCACGCAGGCGGUUUGUUAAGUCAGAUGUGAAAUCCCCGGGCUCAACCUGGGAACUGCAUUUGAAACUGGCAAGCUAGAGUCUCGUAGAGGGGGGUAGAAUUCCAGGUGUAGCGGUGAAAUGCGUAGAGAUCUGGAGGAAUACCGGUGGCGAAGGCGGCCCCCUGGACGAAGACUGACGCUCAGGUGCGAAAGCGUGGGGAG
rnacentral:rRNA from 1 species